GCGCGCGUAGCUCAGCUGGAUAGAGCGCCAGCCUCCGGAGCUGGAAGUCGCAGGUUCGAAUCCUGCCGCGCGUA
rnacentral:tRNA from 1 species